GCGGCGCUCGCGGGCGCCGGGGAGGGCGGGGGCGCCGCCAGCCUCCCGCGGGUCCCGGUGCCCCCGGGGCCCUUUCGGCUGACAGAAAGAGUUCUAAGUUGCUGCUGGGAAAAGGGAUUUCCACUACUGUCGUGUGCUGCAUCAUGAAGCUGUCGUGGUGCUUGAUGUUCCUGUUUACCUUACCAUAGCCUCAGUGUCAGCUAGAUGAAGACGAUGAGGAUUAUUUUUUGUGAUAUGGAACGAGUUGCACAGCAUACUUUAGAGAGAUUCUUCAGCUAUCAUACUAAUGUAAAAAAUAACAACUUUAA